CUGGCGGCGUGCCUAACACAUGCAAGUCGAACGGAGAUAGAGAUUUCGAUUUUUAUCUUAGUGGCGCACGGGUGAGUAACACGUGAAUAACCUGACCCAAAGAGGGGGAUAACACCUGGAAACAAGUGCUAAUACCGCAUAAGACCACAAUGCCGCAUGGCGAAGGGGUCAAAGAAAAUCGCUUUGGGAGGGGUUCGCGUCCCAUUAGGUAGUAGGCGGGGUAAUAGCCCACCUAGCCGACGAUGGGUAGCCGAGCUGAGAGGCUGAUCGGCCACACUGGAACUGAGACACGGUCCAGACUCCUACGGGAGGCAGCAGUGGGGAAUAUUGGGCAAUGGGCGCAAGCCUGACCCAGCAACGCCGCGUGAGGGAAGAAGGUUUUCGGAUUGUAAACCUCUGUCGCAGAAGACGAAGGAAGUGACGGUAUUCUGUGAGGAAGCCCCGGCUAACUACGUG
rnacentral:rRNA from 1 species